UAAGCCCAGCACUGAACCUCGUGUCUCCGGAUACCGAGGAAUGUAGUGUUCAGGAGAGAGGUGGUUUGCCUGUCCGGUGAUUGUCCAAGUCCCCAUGAUCGGGGCUAGAGUCCGCAGAGGGUGUCAGGCCCGUAGUGACGCGCCGCGACCGUGAACACUUUAUCUCCUAAGAGUCGGGUUGCUUGAGAGNGCAGCCCUAAGCGGGAGGUAAACUCCUUCUAAGGCUAAAUACCGCCACGAGACCGAUAGCAAACAAGUACCGCGAGGGAAAGUUGAAAAGAACUUUGAAGAGAGAGUUCAAGAGUGCGUGAAACCGUUCAGGGGGUUAAACGGGUGGGCCCUCGAAGGUCGAACGGCAUCUACUCCCGUUACCUGCAUACGAGCCUGCGCUUGGACGAGCCGCAUUCUGCGGCCGCCGAGUGUGGUACGCUUGGGGCGUGCAGGGACCGCAAGUUGGAUGCCUAGUAGGACUCCGCNACCGGCUGGGCUCGGUCGUCAGACGGGUCUUGAGGAUCGGCCUCCUUGUGGGGCCGUAUUUUCGAGAUUCCCGGCGAUCGCUCGGCCGUUGAGUGCUGCCUCGCUGUUCCUUAGAAUGGACGAGCGUUUCGUACUCGCCUGAAACGGGCGGGUUGAGGCGUUGUCGGUUCGUUCGAGGCUCCGGUGAGAAGCGCGGAGAGUAGGUCGGGUCCCACCCGACCCGUCUUGAAACACGGACCAAGGAGUCUAACAUGUGCGCGAGUCGUCGAGUUGUACCAAACUCGAAGGCGUAAUGAAAGUAAAGGCUCGGUUUCCGAGCUGAGGGGAGAUCCCGUUCUGCUUCUGUAGCGCGGGCGCAUCCCCGGGGCGUCUGUACUGCGUUGCCAGUGAGACGAACCUAGAGCGUACACGUUGGGACCCGAAAGAUGGUGACCUAUGCCUGGCCAGGACGAAGCCAGGGGAAACCCU
rnacentral:rRNA from 1 species